UACAGAGGUCUCAAGCGUUGUUCGGAUUCAUUGGGCGUAAAGGGUGUGUAGGUGGCGCCGUUAGUCGGGUGUGAAAUUUCGGAGCUUAACUCCGAAACUGCAUUCGAUACUGCGGUGCUUGAGGACUGGAGAGGAGACUGGAAUUCAUGGUGUAGCAGUGAAAUGCGUAGAGAUCAUGAGGAAGACCAGUGGCGAAGGCGGGUCUCUGGACAGUCCUGACGCUGAGGCACGAAGGCCAGGAGCAAACGGG
rnacentral:rRNA from 1 species